CACGGCUGCUGAGCCCAUGGAGCAGCAGCUGCUCCAGCUCCAGAGUGGACAAUCCCAUUUUUUGGGUGUUUUCCUAAAUGUCAGGGGGGUUUGUGAUGCAAUCUGUGUUAGUGGCACCUCCUCUGGGGCAAAUCCUGACACUGGGCCCAGGGUGUGAUGCACUGAGCCUGGUGUGGAUCUCCUGGAUCUUCAAAGGACAGAGGAGAAAUGUUGCCAACUGAUUAAUAUUUUAAGCAUGUAGACAACCUGCAGACCUUGCUCUUCGACUCAGAUUUCUCCUUUCUCCCCUCCCCAAAAAUGGUUUUGCUGCUUUAAACUCAUUGUUCAGAUUUCCUACUCCCAGGUGAGACGUGAUUAUUUAUUCACUUCAUGUCACCAAAAUUCAGGAC
rnacentral:lncRNA from 1 species